AAACGUGAAAGCGGAGAUUUAAUUUGGACAAAAACAAAACCAAAGCUCAAAGUUUCAUUUGUGGAAAAACGAAAAGUGCAGAUUCUUUCUUUAAAACCCGUCGUGUGAUUAAACCGUGCGCCGGAUGCCCUCCCGUCCUUCCCGCACAUCUGGGUUUUCUGUGGUCGCUGUUUCUGUUUUCUGAGUUUUUGUGGAAGAGGAAACAUCAGUCCUGUACAGAUGUGGAACAAAAAGUGAAUUUGAUAAAAACGUUUAAAUGGACAAGUGCCGAGGUACAUCAGGGAUUUACUGCGUCCACAGUGUUGGGGAGGAACAGAUUACAUGUACUGGAGUUACGUAAUCAGAGUACAAUGUAUGAGUAACUGUAUUCAGUUACAGUUACUGUUUCAGUGAGUGGUAAUUGGAUUACAGUUACUUUGUUGAAAUAAAUGGAUUACACAACGGUAUUUUCCCGUUUUCACAUUUUGGGCUGUAUCCCUCUUUUUUCUUUUUUUUUCUCAGUAAUUCCACUCAUUUCCGGAAUCUAAACCAGGUCUAAACCAGG